rnacentral:lncRNA from 1 species
AAUCACAUCAUAGUUUAUAGCUUGAAUAGUACACACCCAGAGAACCGGCUGGAGCCAGGGAGUCAGAGCCUGGCAGCACCCCAAAGUCUCCAUCAUGCCCCACCCCAGUCACCACCCCCACCAAAGCACAAGACCCCUGAGCCACCCUCCACUGAGAGGCACGCUGGAGACGGAGGUCGAGAACGGGAAGGGGGUGUGAGGACUCCCCUGGCCUGGCCCUCGCUUCUAGCUGGUGCGGGUACCAGGUGUCCAGCCCCCAGGAGCCGUGACGAUGGAGGAUGUCCCCAAGGCUGUGGAGGUUGACGAGAAGUCUCCAGAAUCCAAGGACCUGCUGCCCAGCCAGACGGCCAGCUCGCUGUGCAUCAGCUCCAGAAGCGAGUCUGUCUGGACCACCGCCCCCAGGAGUAGCUGGGAGAUCUACCGCAAGCCCGCCGUCAUCAUGUCUGUGGGCGGCGCCAUCCUCCUCUUCGGCGUGGUCCUCACCUGCUUGGCCUACACCCUGACACUGGGUAACAAGAGCCUGGAGGUCCUGAAGAUGACAGGGCCUGCCUUCCUGUCUCUGGGACUCAUGAUGCUGGUGUGCGGGCUGGUGUGGGUGCCCAUCAUCAAAAAGAAACAGAAGCAGAGACAGAAGUCAGUUUUCUUCCAGAGCCUCAAGUCCUUCUUUCUGAAUCGCUAAUGGUGGCCUCCCCCUCUGGCCUCCCAUCCGCCCUCUAACCUCAAUCAGGAGAAGAUCUGAUGGCCAACGUCCAACGUCCAACAUCCCCGGCUCCCUGGGGGGUGGGGUUUGCCAUAAAACUGAUGCAGGCAAGCCCUCUUCCUGGCCUCCUGGGAAAGAGCGAGCUCCCUCCGUGCUGCUGGGGGACACCGCUGGACGAUCUCAUUUAGUCUCUCUGUUCGCACCGAUGCUUCCCCAGAUCCUGGCCGCCAUCGCCAUUCAGGGCUCUUGCCUGGGCCUCUGCAGCCGGGUGGCCCUCAUCCGAUGCUCUCUGCCAAGUGCUAUGCAUGAUGGGAAAUUCCCUGGGCUGGGCGCUGCCCCGAGAAGAAUCUCCUGUUUACGUAUCUGAGUGCCUGAGCUCAAUUCUGCAUUUGCUUCCUUCUAGAACCCAGACUGACCAACAGAGGUCCUUCAUGGAGGGAAGGAAGCUCUGACCACCAGGUUCGCGCUCCCUGUGGGCAAGACUUGCAUUUCAAGAGAGCAGACAAUUCACAGUAUCAAACAUUCCAAGGAGUGAGCAGUGAAGGGGCCGGGGGAAGAAACACUUCCUGGAAGGCACAUUUCCCCUGGAGUCGGCUCGAGAAGGUGCUUAACUCUCAGUUGUGCAGCAUUCACCCAGAGACAGUGGGGUGCGCGGGGGUGUCAGUCUCCCCCUGACCUCCUAACUCCUUCCCCGUGAAUACUCUCCCCUCUAAACUUGACACUUAGAGGAGGACAAGUGCCCAUUGCCGCGGCUCCCUCUUUCCCCGGCCCCUGCCUCUACCCCAUGAUUCCAGAAGAGCCAGAUGGAGAGCAGCUGCGGAGGGCCGGAGAAGCUUCUCCCUCCCUCACCACCUCGCAGAGUCAACACCAAGACCCAGGUCUGCACCUGAGUGUCUGAGGUCUCCAGAGAGGGGGGUUACUUGAGAAAAUCCCACUUCUGCUCUCCCCGCCUCCGCCCACCAACAGGCAAAUAUUCAGUGAGGACCCUGCUCUGGGCCAGGCCCCAGGGGACAGGGAUGAACGCCAGAUGGUGCCUGCGCUCCCCUUCCUUCCACAAUGAGCGACACAGCCAGGCCCAACAGGUGGCAGGAACACCUGGGGAGGGGGACAUGGAGGGGCAGCUGCCACAGCCUUGGGCAAGAACAAAGGGAGUGCUGGAAUCUGUGCCACCCAACAGAACCCAAGGAAAGAGGCGAGCUGGCCAGAGGGAAGAAGACUGGGCAGGCAGGAACCACCGGAGCAGCGCUGGGGCGGGAGGGAGCAGGAUAACGUCAGGGAACUGCCAUCAGUCACCUGAGUCCUCUCUCUUGGCUCUGCUUCCCCAAGUGCCUUAGUGCCGCUUCUCGGGCUCCUCCAGGGCCUCCAGGGGUGUGUGGCAGAGACUGGAAGGGGGGUUUCAGAGAGCCCACCAGGCAGAGAGCCCCCGUGAGGGAAGUGCUCUGCAAACCUCGGGCUUCCUGCAGCCCCCAAAGGCUCUCGGGUGACAGACCAGGAGGCUACUGUGAGAAAGCUGGCCAGGCUGCCCAGUGGAGAGCAUCUGAUAAGGAGGUGAAGGUGUGAGCUGACUCUCGGCUCCUCGCCUUCUGCCCCUGCCCCACUCACCACGACGCCACUAUGGCAACCUCUCGCUCUAACCGGCCUCCAGGUAGCUCCAUCCUUGAAGGUGAUUCCACACCUGGAGUCAGAGCCGCAUCUUGUUCCCUCUGCAUCAUGGGAAACUCCAUGGAGGAAAGCACCAGUGACAUGGGGACACCCCCUGCCCCACCCACCUAAGGACCCAGAGUCUGUCUGGGGAGCCUGUGGCCUUUCAGCGUCACCCAGAAUGAUUGCGUCUCUCAUUCAGACAGCGUGUCCAUGUCCUCUAGCCCACCUGUCCCCUGCACCCAGGCGGUCAGGACCAAUUAUGGGGCCGUUGCAAGCCCUGUGCCACGCACCUGUAGUUCCAGUGCCUCAAGUGACCAGGCUUACAGACUGUUUUCUUUUCUUUGGCAUGAACGCAGAUUCGGCUUCAGCCCUGCAACGUCACUCUCACACCCUGGAUGCUUUCUUACCGGGAAGCAGACAGGGAGGACGCCCAGCUGGCUCCCCGGGAACCCACACUCCCGCAUCCCAGUUCCUCUGCCCACAAGCUUGGCAUCUGGGCACAGCUGUGGGAGGAGGGCCCAGGCAGCCACUGGUACCACGUGUGUCUCGGUGGAGCACAGUCUGGGGCCGACUUGACUCUAGCAGGCGUCCAGGGGCUGGGCUCACCUUGGGAGUCCCCAGCAGUCUUGCCCACGUCCCCUGCUCCCUAUGCUAGUUCCUCAGACAGAAAGAUGAGGAGAGAUCCCCCAGUGCAUCAUUCACCCCCUCUGGGGGCCCCAUGGGAAUGUGGACCAAGACACAGGCUGGGGUCACGGUGAGGGGCUUCCGCCAAAGACCAUCGCCACACAGAAGCCUGAGGAGCAGGCCCAGCCCAGGUCAGAUGCCGUGUUUCUGGGGAAGAGCAUCCCCAGCACGACUCCUCUCGUGCCCCUGGACGGGAGGUCAUGACCGGCACCCGUGCGUCCCGCUAACUGGAUCGUUAUCCCACCCAGAGCUGUUCUGUUUAAUCUGAGCGCUAAACGAAGCAACGG